GCCAACGUAGCUCAGUGGUAGAGCAAUCGUUUCAUAAGCGAUCGGUCGCAGGUUCGAUCCCUGCCGUUGGCACCC
rnacentral:tRNA from 1 species